rnacentral:rRNA from 1 species
UACGAAGGGGGCUAGCGUUGUUCGGAAUCACUGGGCGUAAAGAGCGCGUAGGCGGUUUAGUAAGUCAGAGGUGAAAGCCUGGAGCUCAACUCCAGAACUGCCUUUGAAACUGCUAAGCUGGAGUCUCGGAGAGGAUAGUGGAAUUCCUAGUGUAGAGGUGAAAUUCGUAGAUACUAGGAGGAACACCAGUGGCGAAGGCGACUAUCUGGACGAGUACUGACGCUGAGGCGCGAAAGCGUGGGUAGCAAACAGG